UCGUGUUUUGAUUAAAUUUUUAUUUUUCAAAGUUCUGAUUUUCGUAUCCACUAUAGAAUACAAUAUCCAGAUGUGUGUGGUAUUGGCUGCGCAUGUGAUGCUUUAGACAUCAAAGGUCUGUUUCAACAAAGAAACUAAGAAGCACUCAAAAAAAUUACAUAUCAUAAAUAUGAAUAGGCUAAAAUAAAACGCAAUCCUGUAGGUACUUAAAGCUUUGCGAUUGAUCGCAAUUCGCAACGUCCGUGGCUAGUUUGUACAUUAAACAUUUGCUGUAUCUUAAAGAAGAAAGAGCAAGUUCAUAUACGUUUUUAUUGAGAUAUCAAAGUUAAUCUUUCGAAAUCAUGAAGAUUUAUUGCGAUGAAAAGGAAAUCAAGCCGACAGCUAUAAUGACUUUCGAAAAAAUGGACCGUCUGUACCGUGAGAAGGAAGGCAAGCUUUUGUACAUCCAAGGUUCCCGCACUUAUGAUACCCUCCGUUAUGGAAAGAAUGAUUCCAAACUUCCUUUCGAGUUCACUUUCACCGAUAGAUUCAACCAUAAAUGGAAAGUUGUGAUAAACAAGCAAGAUGACGUCGUCAACAUGUUCAUACCUUGUGGUACUCAAAUGCUAUGGUACGGCGCCGAUCAGAGUCCAACAAGAACUGGUACCGACGCUCAGACCAACUGGGCCCAAGUUGAGUUUAGUUGGCAAGAUAAGACGUACCUCCGCCGUAUCACGCUGGUGUCAGAAUCGCCUUUACAGCUUACAAAGAUGACCGAAACGGAGAAUGGAAUGUCGAUAAUCAACGUUGGAACGACAUCCUUGAUUUAACAAAGAAAGGAACUGAGGUAACAGGAGCGAUCAUUGAUCAAGUUGAGAAAGUUAAAGGAAUGGCAUGAAUCCUUGUUUUUUGGUAUUGAACUGUAUUCUCGAAAUAGACUGCAGUGUUUUUCCUGGAAACAAUAGACAUUAGUGUAGUUAACACAACUUUUUGUUCUUAUAUGUGGAUUUCAUGUAUGAAAACCUCUCAUUUAGUAUUAAAUCUUUACAUUGAAACUUUUACAAAAAGUACAGUUGCAAAAGAUUGAAACUGCAUAAUUAAGUUUGUAUUUUUACGUAUCUUUUGUAAUACUAAAGUUAAUAAAUUCAGAGUGUCGAA